rnacentral:lncRNA from 1 species
GACGAACAUUUUCAAACUGAUGCAGUAGGCGGGAGCUUAAUCUGAAGGUAACAACGGCAAGAUCUGUUUGAAGAAUGAACAAUUUACAAACUGAUAGCAGCUGGGAAAUUCGGUGUGGAUCAAUAAGAUAGUUUCCCUCCUGUUUUGUUACAUGUUGGAUACAGUUAAAAGAGUGUUUGAUCCUCAAAGGUAACUGGGGCUAAUGUUUUGGUUGUCAAUACCCUUCUUUCAGUGAUAUGUUUUCAUGAGAUGCUGUAUGUUGGUUUCUGAGAUGCGUGUUGCUUUUUGGUGUUUGUUGGUAUGAUAUGAGACCUAUAUGGAUUGGUGUUUGUGUUUGCAUGAUUUGCUUUGGACGUGACGUCACUGUUGGGGUUGAUGUGUUAAUGGGAAUAAAACUUAAGAGGAUGGCUGGCUUGAACCCUGACCGGCUUUGGUUCUGAUUGCUAGUUAAUGCUCGACCGGUUUGUUUUUUGACGAAACCAGUCCAUCAACCAGCGCAUUGGCGGUUAACCAACUACACGUCCCUUCACAGACUUCUCUAUUUAUAUUCACUAUGCACUCCAGUCUCUAUGAGACACAGUGAAUUGGGG